UACGUUCGACGGGAUUCAGAGGUGGUACUGCUCUUCUUCUAUGCCCCUUGGUGUGGACAGUCCAUCGCUGCCAGGGCAGAAAUUGAGCAAGCAGCAAGUCGGCUUUCAGAUCAGCCUGGAGUACUCGGGUACUUUGAGUUCAGUGGCUCACCCCAGCCUCCUGGUUAUUUGACCUUCUUCACCUCAGCAUUACAUUCAUUAAAGAAAGAUUACCUAGGAACAGUACGAUUUGGGGUUAUCACAAAUAAACAUCUUGCGAAACUGGUAUCCUUAGUACACUCUGGAAGUGUGUAUUUACAUAGACAUUUCAACACAUCACUUGUCUUCCCCAGGGAGGUCCUGAACUACACAGCUGAGAACAUCUGUAAGUGGGCCUUAGAAAACCAGGAGACGCUCUUUCGGUGGCUGCGGCCACACGGAGGCAAGAGUCUCCUGCUGAAUAACGAGCUGAAGAAAGGACCAGCGCUGUUUCUGUUCAUACCUUUUAAUCCCCUGGCCGAAAGUCAUCCUUUAAUAGACGAGAUCACCGAAGUGGCCUUGGAGUACAACAACUGUCAUGGGGACCAGGUGGUGGAGCGUCUCCUUCAGCACCUGCGGCGGGUGGAUGCUCCAGUG
rnacentral:lncRNA from 1 species